AUUGAACGCUGGCGGCAUGCCUUACACAUGCAAGUCGAACGGCAGCACGGGGGCAACCCUGGUGGCGAGUGGCGAACGGGUGAGUAAUACAUCGGAACGUGCCCGGAAGUGGGGGAUAACGUAGCGAAAGUUACGCUAAUACCGCAUAUUCUGUGAGCAGGAAAGCAGGGGAUCGCAAGACCUUGCGCUUUCGGAGCGGCCGAUGUCGGAUUAGCUAGUUGGUGAGGUAAAAGCUCACCAAGGCGACGAUCCGUAGCUAGUCUUAGAGGAUGAUCAGCCACACUGGGACUGAGACACGGCCCAGACUCCUACGGGAGGCAGCAGUGGGGAAUUUUGGACAAUGGGGGAAACCCUGAUCCAGCCAUGCCGCGUGAGUGAAGAAGGCCUUCGGGUUGUAAAGCUCUUUCGGACAGAAAGAAAUCGCAUCGGCUAAUACUCGAUGUGGAUGACGGUACUGUCAUAAGAAGCACCGGCUACCUACGUGCCAGCAGCCGCGGUAAUACGUAGGGUGCGAGCGUUAAUCGGAAUUACUGGGCGUAAAGCGUGCGCAGGCGGUUUUGAAAGACAGGCGUGAAAUCCCCGGGCUCAACCUGGGAACUGCGCUUGUGACUCCAAG
rnacentral:rRNA from 1 species